GGAGUGGGCUGGAUGGUCGCGCGGACCGUUUCGGUUCGUGAGGAAAGUCCGGACUCCACAGGGCAGGGUGCCUGCUAACGGCAGGGCGGGGCGACCCGACGGAAAGUGCCACAGAAAAGAAGACUCCUCCGCCCCAAGCGGAGGAAAAGCUGAAACGGUGCGGUAAGAGCGCACCAGCGUUACGGCAACGUAGCGGCUUGGCAAACCCCACCUGGAGCAAGGGUAAAUAGAAGCGAUCAAGGUCGGCCCGACCGACGCUUGGGUUAGCCCGCGAGAGGCCAUGGGCGACCGUGGUCCCAGAUAAAUGACCGUUCUCGACAGAAUCCGGCUUACAGGCCCACUCCGCCU
rnacentral:RNase_P_RNA from 1 species